GCAUCCGUAGCUCAGCUGGAUAGAGUAACCGGCUACGAACCGGUCGGUCGGGGGUUCGAAUCCCUCCGGAUGUGCCA
rnacentral:tRNA from 1 species